GAUGAAGAACGCAGCGAAAUGCGAUAAGUAAUGUGAAUUGCAGAAUUCAGUGAAUCAUCGAAUCUUUGAACGCACCUUGCACCCUUUGGUAUUCCGAAGGGUAUGCCUGUUCGAGUGUCAUGAAACUCUCAAACCGUCAACUUUAUUGAUGGCGGGUUUGGACUUGGACGUUGCUGGGUUCACGCUCGGCUCGUCUUAAAUGCAUUAGCUGGCUCUUUCGGCUUCAGUUACUCGGUGUGAUAAUACAUCUACGCCGUAGCCGCAAGGCGCUGAGGUCGAAUACGGAGCGGCUUAUAACCGUCCUCGGACAAUUUUCAUCACAUCUGGCCUCGAAUCAGGUAGGACUACCCGCUGAACUUAAGCAUAUCAAUAAGCGGAGGA
rnacentral:misc_RNA from 1 species